rnacentral:rRNA from 1 species
UGGGGAAUCUUCCGCAAUGGGCGAAAGCCUGACGGAGCAACGCCGCGUGAGUGAUGACGGCCUUCGGGUUGUAAAACUCUGUUAUAUGGGACGAACGGGCAGAUGGCCAAUACCCAUCUGUCGUGACGGUACCGUAAGAGAAAGCCACGGCUAACUACGUGCCAGCAGCCGCGGUAAUACGUAGGUGGCAAGCGUUGUCCGGAAUUAUUGGGCGUAAAGGGCGCGCAGGCGGUUUCUUAAGUCUGUCUUAAAAGUGCGGGGCUUAACCCCGUGAGGGGACGGAAACUGGGAGACUUGAGUAUCGGAGAGGAAAGCAGAAUUCCUAGUGUAGCGGUGAAAUGCGUAGAUAUUAGGAGGAAUACCAGUGGCGAAAGCGGCUUUCUGGACGACAACUGACGCU